rnacentral:rRNA from 1 species
GUCCAGCAGCCGCGGUCAUACCGGCAGCACGAGUGAUGGCCGCUUUUAUUGGGCCUAAAGCGUCCGUAGCUUGCUGUGUAAGUCCAUUGGGAAAUCCACGCGCUCAACGCGUGGGCGUCCGGUGGAAACUGCACGGCUUGGGGCCGAGAGACUCGACGGGUACGUCCGGGGUAGGAGUGAAAUCCUAUAAUCCUGGACGGACCACCAAUGGGGAAACCACGUCGAGAGACCGGACCCGACAGUGAGGGACGAAAGCCAGGGUCUCGAACCGGAUUAGAAACCCUGGUAGUCC